rnacentral:misc_RNA from 1 species
GUAAGUAAAAGUCGUAACAAGGUUUCCGUAGGUGAACCUGCGGAAGGAUCAUUAUUGUAUAACCGAGGUGGGAGGGCUGUCGCUGACCCGAAAGGUCGUGCACGCCCGAGUGCCCUCACACACAUCCAUCUCACCCCUAUGUGCACCACCGCGUGGGUCCCCCUUUGGCUUGUUCGGAGGGGGGCUUACGUUUUCACACAAACUUUGUAUGCAGUGCAGAAUGUAUUUUUUGUUUUUGCGAUCACGCAAUCAAUACAACUUUCAACAACGGAUCUCUUGGCUCUC